rnacentral:snRNA from 12 species
UUUUCUCCGCAGCUGUGGUCUCGCCGCGAUCAGGAAGACGGCGGACCCGCGGGUAGAUCGGGUCCAGUGCACUUUCGGACCCGGUGGACCCGUGUCAACAGCUAAAUUUUUGCGUGAGGGGGUGGAUGUGAGGCGCCCACGUCCCCCCU